AUGUUCCACAGAAUGGUGGUUUCUUGGGGUUUUUUGGCAUCAGCCAGUUUGUGUAGGACAGGAAGUGGCAGCGGCAAUGUGCAAGUUUUGCAGAGUGAUCUGGAGCAGUUCGACAACUGUGUAACCACUGCAGGGCUGCUGAGGAGACUCCUGGACAGGAGCUGUGCAGGGCUGGAGAAGGGAUGGACCUGCGCGGUGCAGGAGCUGUGCAGGGCUGGAGAAGGGAUGGACCUGCGCGGUGCAGGAGCUGUGCAGGGCUGGAGAAGGGAUGGACCUGCGCGGUGCAGGAGCUGUGCAGGGCUGGAGAAGGGAUGGACCUGCGCGGUGCAGGAGCUGUGCAGGGCUGGAGAAGGGAUGGACCUGCGCGGUGCAGGAGCUGUGCAGGGCUGGAGAAGGGAUGGACCUGCGCGGUGCAGGAGCUGUGCAGGGCUGGAGAAGGGAUGGACCUGCGCGGUGCAGGAGCUGUGCAGGGCUGGAGAAGGGAUGGACCUGCGCGGUGCAGGAGCUGUGCAGGGCUGGAGAAGGGAUGGACCUGCGCGGUGCAGGAGCUGUGCAGGGCUGGAGAAGGGAUGGACCUGCGCGGUGCAGGAGCUGUGCAGGGCUGGAGAAGGGAUGGACCUGCGCGGUGCAGGAGCUGUGCAGGGCUGGAGAAGGGAUGGACCUGCGCGGUGCAGGAGCUGUGCAGGGCUGGAGAAGGGAUGGACCUGCGCGGUGCAGGAGCUGUGCAGGGCUGGAGAAGGGAUGGACCUGCGCGGUGCAGGAGCUGUGCAGGGCUGGAGAAGGGAUGGACCUGCGCGGUGCAGGAGCUGUGCAGGGCUGGAGAAGGGAUGGACCUGCGCGGUGCAGGAGCUGUGCAGGGCUGGAGAAGGGAUGGACCUGCGCGGUGCAGGAGCUGUGCAGGGCUGGAGAAGGGAUGGACCUGCGCGGUGCAGGAGCUGUGCAGGGCUGGAGAAGGGAUGGACCUGCGCGGUGCAGGAGCUGUGCAGGGCUGGAGAAGGGAUGGACCUGCGCGGUGCAGGAGCUGUGCAGGGCUGGAGAAGGGAUGGACCUGCGCGGUGCAGGAGCUGUGCAGGGCUGGAGAAGGGAUGGACCUGCGCGGUGCAGGAGCUGUGCAGGGCUGGAGAAGGGAUGGACCUGCGCGGUGCAGGAGCUGUGCAGGGCUGGAGAAGGGAUGGACCUGCGCGGUGCAGGAGCUGUGCAGGGCUGGAGAAGGGAUGGACCUGCGCGGUGCAGGAGCUGUGCAGGGCUGGAGAAGGGAUGGACCUGCACGGUGCAGCCCUGGUGUGCCCAGCACCGGUGACACCCGCAGGUCAGUGGGGAACAGAAAGCUAA
rnacentral:lncRNA from 1 species